GACGGGACCCGCACAAGCAGCGGAGCGUGUGGUUUAAUUCGAUGCUACACGAGGAACCUUACCAAGGUUUGACAUGUAAGUGGUAGUGAUCUGAAAAGUGAACGACCCUUCGGGGAGCUUACACAGGUGCUGCAUGGCUGUCGUCAGCUCGUGUCGUGAGAUGUUCGGUUAAGUCCGCUAACGAGCGCAACCCUCACUGUGUGUUACAUGUGUCACACGGGACUGCCGGUUUUAAGCCGGAGGAAGGCGAGGAUGACGUCAAGUCAGCAUGGCCUUUAUAUCUUGGGCUACACACACGCUACAAUGGUCUGUACAAUAGGUUGCCAAGCCGCGAGGCGGAGCCAAUCCUUAAAGCAGGCCUCAGUUCAGAUUGCAGGCUGCAACCCGCCUGCAUGAAGAUGGAGUUGCUAGUAACCGCAAGUCAGCUAUACUGCGGUGAAUACGUUCCCGGGUCUU
rnacentral:rRNA from 1 species